rnacentral:lncRNA from 1 species
GUUGGAUCUUAUAACGAAAGAGUUAGAAUUUUUGAUAUUUUAGCUGUUUCCAUGGUAACGGCAGCCAUUUUGAAAAUUCCAAAGUCAAACUUGAAAUCAGCACAUGCCAGUUAACAUUCCUGUGGAGUUUCUUCCAGUUUGGAACACUUUGAUUUUUUUCGCAUUUAUGCUGUUUCCAUGGAAACGGCGGCCAUCUUUUACCAUUCCAUAGCAAGGUGCA